rnacentral:rRNA from 1 species
GACGACCGCUGGCGGCGUGCUUAACACAUGCAAGUCGAACGGUGAAGCCUUUCGGGGUGGAUCAGUGGCGAACGGGUGAGUAACACGUGGGCAAUCUGCCCUGCACUCUGGGACAAGCCCUGGAAACGGGGUACAAUCUCGGAUAUGACUUCCUGCCGCAUGGUGGGGGGUGGCACGCUCUGGUGGUGCAGGAUGAGCCCGCGGCCUAUCAGCUUAUGGGUGGGGUGAUGGCCUACCAAGGCGACGACGGGUAGCCGGCCUGAGUGGGCGACCGGCCACACUGGGACUGAGACACGGCCCAGACUCCUACGGGAGGCAGCAGUGGUGAAUAUUGCACAGUUGGCGGAAGACUGAUGCAGCGACGCCGCGUGGGGGAUGACGGCCUUCGGGUUGUAAACCUCUUUCAGCAGGGAAGAAGCGUGAGUGACGGUACCUGCAGAAGAAGCACCGGCUAACUACGUGCCAGCCGCCGCCGUAA